GAUGAAGAACGCAGCGAAAUGCGAUAAGUAAUGUGAAUUGCAGAAUUCAGUGAAUCAUCGAAUCUUUGAACGCACAUUGCGCCCCCUGGUAUUCCGGGGGCAUGCCUGUUCGAGCGUCAUUUCACCACUCAAGCCUCGCUUGGUAUUGGGCAUCGCGGUCCGCCGCGCGCCUCAAAUCGACCGGCUGGGUCUUCUGUCCCCUAAGCGUUGUGGAAACUAUUCGCUAAAGGGUGUUCGGGAGGCUACGCCGUAAAACAACCCCAUUUCUAAGGUUGACCUCGGAUCAGGUAGGGAUACCCGCUGAACUUAAGCAUAUCAAUAAGCGGAGGA
rnacentral:misc_RNA from 1 species